ACGCUGGCGGCACGCCUUAUACAUGCAAGUCGAACGAAGUAGCAAUACUUAGUGGCAGACGGGUGAGUAACAUGUGGGUAUCUUCCCUUUGGUGAGGAAUAACACGAGGAAACUUGUGCUAAUACCUCAUAAGUCUUUACGGAGAAAGCUUUAUGCGCCAUUGGAUGAGCCCGCACUUGAUUAGUUUGUUGGUGAGGUAAUAGCUUACCAAGACAAAGAUCAAUAGCUGAUUUGAGAGGAUGAUCAGCCACAUUGGGACUGAGACACGGCCCAAACUCCUACGGGAGGCAGCAGUAAGGAAUCUUGCACAAUGGAGGAAACUCUGAUGCAGCGAUGCCGCGUGAGUGAAGAAGGCCCUUGGGUUGUAAAGCUCUUUCGUCGGGGAAGAAAAUGACUGUACCCGAAUAAGAAGGUCCGGCUAACUUCGUGCCAGCAGCCGCGGUAAUACGAAGGGACCUAGCGUAGUUCGGAAUUACUGGGCUUAAAGAGUUCGUAGGUGGUUAAAAUAGUUGGUGGUGAAAUCCCAGAGCUUAACUCUGGAACUGCCAUCAAAACUUUUUAGCUAGAGUAUGAUAGAGGAAAGCAGAAUUUCUAGUGUAGAGGUGAAAUUCGUAGAUAUUAGAAAGAAUACCAAUUGCGAAGGCAGCUUUCUGGAUCAUUACUGACACUGAGGAACGAAAGCAUGGGUAGCGAAGAGGAUUAGAUACCCUCGUAGUCCAUGCCGUAAACGAUGUGUGUUAGACGUUGGAAAUUUAUUUUCAGUGUCGCAGCGAAAGCGAUAAACACACCGCCUGGGGAGUACGACCGCA
rnacentral:rRNA from 1 species